GACGAACGCUGGCGGCGUGCUUAACACAUGCAAGUCGAACGGAAAGGCCCUGCUUUUGUGGGGUGCUCGAGUGGCGAACGGGUGAGUAACACGUGAGUAACCUGCCCUUGACUUUGGGAUAACUUCAGGAAACUGGGGCUAAUACCGGAUAGGAGCUCCUGCUGCAUGGUGGGGGUUGGAAGGUUUCGGCGGUUGGGGAUGGACUCGCGGCUUAUCAGCUUGUUGGUGGGGUAGUGGCUUACCAAGGCUUUGACGGGUAGCCGGCCUGAGAGGGUGCCCGGCCACAUUGGGACUGAGAUACGGCCCAGACUCCUACGGGAGGCAGCAGUGGGGAAUAUUGCACAAUGGGCGGAAGCCUGAUGCAGCAACGCCGCGUGCGGGAUGACGGCCUUCGGGUUGUAAACCGCUUUCGCCUGUGACGAAGCGUGAGUGACGGUAAUGGGUAAAGAAGCACCGGCUAACUACGUG
rnacentral:rRNA from 1 species